ACUGUUGAUGAUGAUGAACUCAAGAGAUACAUCCUCGAUGGUUUUGAUGAUCAAUAUACACCAUUAUUUCCAUCUAUUAAUUCAGUCCCUAGUACCACUUGUGCUGAUAUCUGAUCUCAUCUGCAUGCUUUUGAUG